rnacentral:rRNA from 1 species
AUUGAACGCUGGCGGCAGGCCUAACACAUGCAAGUCGAGCGCGCGGCGGACGGGUGAGUAAUGUCUGGGAAACUGCCUGAUGGAGGGGGAUAACGACUGGAAACGGUAGCUAAUACCGCAUACCAUCAGAUGUGCCCAGAUGGGAUUAGCUAGUGGGUGGGGUAACGUCUUACCUAGGCGACGAUCCCUUGCUGGUCUGAGAGGAUGACCAUCCACACUGGAACUGAGACACGGUCCAGACUCCGACGGGAGGCAGCAGUGGGGAAUAUUGCACAAUGGGCGCAAGCCUGAUGCAGCCAUGCCGCGUGUGUGAAGAAGGCCUUCGGGUUGUAAAGCACUUUCAGCGGGGAGGCGUUACCCGAAGAAGAAGCACCGACUAACUCCGUGCCAGCAGCCGCGGUAAUUC